rnacentral:lncRNA from 1 species
GGGAGGAAGGGGAACCAGCUGGCCAGAAAAUUGCAAAGGUCGCUGAUGCAAUCUUGCAACAGCUUGCUCAGCCUUCCCUGUUAGAGCCCAGAGCCAGAGGGGAAAGGGUGCCAUUCUUAGGGGUCUGAGGUCAUUGGCCAGAGUCAGAAGCCAGCGUCAAUCCCUUGGUCUGCUACAGCCCUUCAGUUCUAGUCGAAGGUGAAAGUUUGGAAUUUAAAGUUCAUGCUUUAGUUGAUAGGUAAGUGAGCAAGGUAACCACAGGCCAAAUGUAGAUUAUUCUUGGAGGAGCCUGGCUUGGCUUUUUGUUCUUUUAACCUUGUCAAGCCAGAAAGUUCUGUAAGGAAGGUCUGAGCCAAGUUUAACUUCAGUCUUGGCAUUGUUCUUAAGCCUUCCUGAUAAAUUUGGAGCACUCCUAGUAGCUGGCAGCAGUGACCAUGGAACUUCCCCAAGGACCACGAGGGUUCCAGACACAGUGGCUCCUGGGAAAGAAUAUGAUGUAUACCUAGACAAGAGAGCACCCAAUUGGUUUCCCCCUCGGAAGUGUCCACAGAGGCCAGAAGGAGUCAGCCCCCUGGAACUUGAGUCACAGAUGAGCUGCCAAGUGAUACUGGGAACCCAACCUGGGUUCUCUGUAAGAGCGAAUCCAAGCAGCAAGAUGGAGGAAAAAUCAAUUCAAAGCCUGAGGAGGACUGAUGAGGAAAAUGAUCCGAUGGGAGAACCUGGUUGAGACCAGUCCACCUUCACUGUGGUGCUAUCCCUGGGCAUGUGGUCCUGGGCUAUAGGAGAAGGCCGGCUGAGCAAGCUGUGAAGAGCAAGCCAGUAAGCAGCACUGUUACUGGAUUUUCUUUUCCAGUCAGGUUCCACCACCCUUCUCAGCCCCAAAGAAACACGCAGACGCUAUAUUAAUUAUAA